AGUGAACGCUGGCGGUAGGCCUAACACAUGCAAGUCGAACGGCAGCACAGUAAGAGCUUGCUCUUACGGGUGGCGAGUGGCGGACGGGUGAGGAAUACAUCGGAAUCUACUUUUUCGUGGGGGAUAACGUAGGGAAACUUACGCUAAUACCGCAUACGACCUACGGGUGAAAGCAGGGGAUCUUCGGACCUUGCGCGAUUGAAUGAGCCGAUGUCGGAUUAGCUAGUUGGCGGGGUAAAGGCCCACCAAGGCGACGAUCCGUAGCUGGUCUGAGAGGAUGAUCAGCCACAAUGGAACUGAGACACGGUCCCGACUCCUAAGGGAGGCAGCAGGGGGGAAUAUUGGACAAUGGGGGGAAGCCUGAUCCCGCCAAACCGCGUGGGUGAAGAAGGCCUUCGGGUUGGAAAGCCCUUUUGUUGGGAAAGAAAAGCAGCAGGUUAAUACCCCGCUGUUCUGACGGUACCCAAAGAAUAAGCCACGGCUAACUUCGUG
rnacentral:rRNA from 1 species